AUGAAUGAUGAUCUAACCAAGCCAUACACCGCAGAUGAGGUCAAAGUGGAUUUGUUCCAAAUGGCUCCAUCUAAGGCCCCUGGUGUUGACGGCUUUACUGCAGGGUUUUAUCAGCAGCAUUGGGACUUGCUCGGCAAUGACGUGACUUUGGCAGUACUAGAUUUUCUGAAUGGGGGCGAGUUACCAUCGGGAUUGAACGAUACCAGCAUCACUCUUAUUCCCAAGGUACGGCACCCACCGUCAAUCUCACAAUAUCGUCCCAUUGCUUUGUGCCCGGUCCUUUACAAGAUCGCGACCAAAGUUAUUACUAAUCGCUUGUGAUACAUCAUGGAUGAUAUUAUUAGUGAAGAGCAGAGCGCUUUUGUUCCUGGUCGUCUCAUCACGGACAAUGUACUUGUUGCAUAUGAAAGUAUACAUAUGAUGAGAAGAAGGAAGAAAGGGAAGAACUUCUCUUGUGCAGUUAAGCUAGACAUGAUGAAGGCUUACGAUCGGGUGGAGUGGCAUUACCUCGAGGCGAUUUUGUCUCGUCUGGGCUUCAGUAUUAAUUUCAUUCGCCUGAUAAUGAAGUGUGUCACCUCGGUUCGUUUUUCGGUUCGGGUUAAUGGAGAGCUUCUUCCAUUCUUCACCCCAUCUCGGGGUUUUCGAAAAGGUGAUCCAGUUUCUCCAUACCUAUUUUUGCUUUGUGCAGAAGGUUUUUCCUCAUUGUUGAAGUUUUACAAUGAUGGAUACAUUGAUCGGGGACUAAGAGUGAGCUAUAGAUCACCCUGGGUCUCUCAUUUGCUGUUUGCAGACGACAGUCUAAUCUUCAUUAAUGCAAGCGCUGCCAGUGCUUUCCGUCUGAACGAAAUUCUGAAGAUCUAUGGUGAUGCUUCGGGCCAGUGUGUGAACCGGGACAAAAGCUUUAUUUAUUUCAGCACCAAUACCCCGGACACCAUCAGGCAAGAUUUGAAGUCGACCUUGAAUAUUCAAGUCGAGGCUUUCAGUGAGAGAUACUUGGGGCUCCCCACUGCGGUUGGACGUAUCACCAAUGGUACUUUUGAUCAUAUUAGUGAGAGAGCUCGUGGGAAGAUGCAAGGGUGGUCGGAAAAAUUGCUUGCAUGUGCUGGAAGAUGCUCAAGUCUGUAA
rnacentral:rRNA from 1 species